UGUGUGUGUGUGUGUGUGUGUGUAUAUAUAUAUAUAUAUAUAUAUACACACACACAUAUACAUAUAUA